rnacentral:rRNA from 1 species
AACGAACGCUGGCGGCAGGCUUAACACAUGCAAGUCGAACGCCCACUUCGGUGGGGAGUGGCAGACGGGUGAGUAACGCGUGGAAACAUACCUUUUGCUUCGGAAUAUUCCCGGGAAACUGGGAGCAAUACCGAAUGUGCCCUGAGGGGGAAAGAUUUUAUCGGCAAAAGAUUGGUCCGCGUUAGAUUAGGUAGUUGGUAGGGUAAAGGCCUACCAAGCCUACGAUCUAUAGCUGGUCUGAGAGGAUGAUCAGCCACAUUGGGACUGAGACACGGCCCAAACUCCUACGGGAGGCAGCAGUGGGGAAUAUUGGACAAUGGGCGCAAGCCUGAUCCAGCCAUGCCGCGUGAAUGAUGAAGGCCUUAGGGUUGUAAAAUUCUUUCACCGGGGACGAUAAUGACGGUACCCGGAGAAGAAGCCCCGGCUAACUUCGUGCCAGCAGCCGCGGUUAAAACGUCUACUG